GACAGAGGGUGCAAACGUUGUUCGGAAUUACUGGGCGUAAAGCGCGUGUAGGCGGUAAGGCAAGUCGGGUGUGAAAGCCCUGGGCUCAACCCAGGAAGUGCAUUCGAUACUGCCAAACUAGAGUCCCGGAGAGGAUGGUGGAACUCUCGGUGUAGAGGUGAAAUUCGUAGAUAUCGAGAAGAACACCGGUGGCGAAGGCGGCCAUCUGGACGGUGACUGACGCUGAGACGCGAAAGCGUGGGGAGCAAACAGG
rnacentral:rRNA from 1 species